GGUUGGAAAGUAUUAAAGUUUGUCAUAUUUUUGGAUAUAAUUAUCUUUUCUCUUUCCACAAAUUUAGCGGCUCCGAAAGAGUUCUCCUCGGAAAGAAAGAGAUGAUGUUGAACGGCGGUGCAAUGGUGGCAGCUUGCAGGGCUUUCGUCGUAAGGCCAAAUUGCUUAGCUUCCAACGUCAACACUGAACAGCUGCGUACUCAGCUCGACCAACUUCACGCUGAAGCUGAGACUACUCGAGCUAAAGCAAACAGUGCAAGAUUAAGACUUUUGCGUUUGUCGGAGGCAGCAGAGAAGCUUAAACGACAGGCAGCUAUUAGUGUUCAUAAUGGGAAGGAAAAUGAUGCAAUGGAUUUACUAUAUCAGAAGAAGAAGGUCAUGCAAGCCAUGGAGAAAUCAAAGAAUCGUAUUGAACUACUUGAUGAGCUGUCUGCCAAGCUUAUCGAGGCAAUAUCUGUAAAAGAAUCUCAAUUGAUUGGGAAUGUUGCUUCGGAUCUUGAUGUUGACAGAGAAGAUCCUACCAGACUAGUUCGAAUUAUAUCUCCAAAGCAAAAAGUUAAUGACACAAAUGAAGAUAAAGACUUUGAUCCUAAUGCCUUGAAACUUGGUGACUCUGAUUCUCAGGUUUUGCAGUUUUCAGCAGAUAGUCAGGCAAAUUCUCUCAUUGAUAGGGAGAGAGAUGAUUUUCAAGGAUCUGUAGUCAUGGACAAUGAUGCUGAGAAUAACGUAAGCAGUAGUCUGAGGGGAAUAUCCUCUUAUUAUAGCUUCUUAGAACAUCUGGAUGAACAGUUCAGUAAUAUUGAAACGGAACUUGUCACCAUUUUAAAUGUUUCAACCCUGAUACUUAAUAGCAAGGAGAAGCCUGAAAAUUUGAAGGUACAGCAAACAAUUGAACUUCUUGAGGGUGUCCGUGGCAUUAGAGGGAAAAUUGCGAGUUUCAUUCUAUCAAUGGUGGAGAUCAUUUAAAGCUUAAUUUUAUCAUACAAGUUUUCUGCACCAGAUUCCAUUGUGCCCUCAGAUAUUCAUCAAAAUCUUCUCAUUCAAGCUCUUAUCAUGAAUUCCAUGGGCAUUUGACUGCUUGGACUGGACACACUUGGUAGUGCCUGAUUUUAAACAGAAGCGUUGAUCCAUGAUUGGUGCAAUCUUUUUUUGCCACUAAAUCGAAGAAAUUUCUUGGUGAGAGCAGCUGCCAGUUAUGUUUCUGAAGUAUUUGAGAAAUGCAUGAUGAUUUUCAUUUGAAGGUCCCAAUAUAUAAUGGAAGUUACUCUGUUUCUUAGUGGCUGUCAAUAAGAAGUCCAAACUUGUAAUUCAUUACAUGUAUUUAUGUGUAACAAAGGCUCCUUUAGUAACCGUAGGCUUGACAGGCUCAUAAAUCUUGAGGAACAAAACUGUAAUUUAGAACUGUUUCUCAAUGAUUAUGAAUGCAUUCUA